rnacentral:lncRNA from 10 species
GCGGGGAUAGGGGGAUCUGAGGCCCUCCCUGCCCGCCCGCUCGGCCGCCCGCGUGCCCCGCCCCUCGGCCCCGGCAGAGGGCGCUAUGGAGCCGGGCGCUGGUGAGUUCUAGCCCUUCGCCAGGAACGGCGAUUCUCAGCGUCCUCUCCGGUGGAGGACAGAAGGCAUCCCAGGGUCGCGGGAGAGCCAGCGCAAAGUGGAAGGCACCUUGUACGCUGUGAAGCGGAGAUGCAGAUGUUACCCUAACCAGAAGCCCACCCCGCCACAAAUACUGGAGCGCCCAGCAUGCGUGCGCCACCCGCUUCCCUGCAGAGGGCGCCGCGGGCCCGCCUCGCCGAGCGCGGGGUGAGAUCCCAGUAGCCCAGAGCAGCCCGCGGGGCAGGCCCGGGCUGCCGCGGACUCCUCUUGCAGAAAAGCCUUUGAUGCUGUAUUCUUAGCACAUGGAACCCUAAACCAAAGCCUGCACUGGGGCAUUUGUGAGAAGCGUGUGUGCAAAGCCUGAGAGACUCCCCUUUUGGGCAUGCUGCUGGGCAGGGGUGUUCUGGUUUGACUUUGUACAUUUAGAUGUGGCCAGGUGACAAAGUUCUGUACAGUGGAAUGUAAACAGAAGUAUCAUGUGAGAGUUUCCAAGAACUUUUUCAGGAGGGAGGAAACACAUGUCCUUUGCCCUCCCUUUUUGUUUGCUGCCUUCUCCAUCCUAUAGCCUGGAAUACAGACAUGAUGGCUACCAUCUUGGACUAUGAACAUGAGGAUCACACCCAAGGGAAGGAGAGGCAGCAAGCUGGAAGGUACUAUGGAGCAGAACUGCCACAGCCUGAGUACCUACCUCUGGAACUUUCUGUGAGAAAUGAAAUGGGCCCAACAGUUCCAUAAACAGUUGUUUUGGGAUAAACAUAGAAAUGGCCCCUAGCUUGAAAUUUGCAUUUGUUUUAUCUGAGUUCCCUCCUCAGGAAAGGACCUUCAGGCCUCUCAAAAAAGUAUCAAGAGAACUGACACCAGAUGCCUCCUUGCCCCUCCCUAGUUCCUGUUUUCUUAAACAUUGUUACAUAUCUUCCCUGCUAUGUAAGCCCCUAGAUUUAGUCAGUCAGGGAGAUGGAUUUGAGACUGAGCUCUCAUAACUUGGCUGCAGCACCCGAUUAAAGCCUUCUUCCUUGGCAAUACU